AUUGUGGACAUCAAUGAUUAAGCCCUUUUUGCUUCCACUAGUGCAUACGCUGAUUAUGGUAUGACCACAAGCGUUUGUUCUUUCGACGAAGACGAUCUCACGUUCUGGAUUGAAUUUUUUCCAGUUUUCUGGUAAUCAUGGAAGGAUUUAUGUGUACUCUUUCGUGAGCACCAGGACCAAGUAUGCAAUGGAUUCAAGAAAAUUGCUGCCGAAAUGAAUCUGAAAAUGUGAACUCCAGUUGUGGUGUGGCCCACCUGCAGUACUUUAUUUGACCAACGACACGAAAGUGAACGUUUUCAACACGACGGAUCACCAGGGAUCGAAAUUGGCCGCCUUUUUCGAUGGAGUCGACGACAUGGUUGACGAGAUGUCAGAAGAAAUGGCGCGGACAGCCGUUCCUCUUUUGGUGUCGUACUGCCUUAGGAAUCCAAACUCAACCGUCGUCACUGCUUCACACCGCGUGAAUUUCGUCGACAUUGUUCAUGAGUCAACAUGUAUAGUAUUCUCUUAGACUAAUGAGGAGCAAUUCCAAAUCUCACACGGCAACCAUACCAGCCCCUUUCAAAGAAAAGAUUCACUAUCAACCUCCUGUCACUCAAAUGUGUGCUAGAUAUCCUGAUUCAGGCACCUUUAAAAUAGGGAACUUCACUUUAGCCAUGUCAACCUAUCACUUGGAGUUGGAUCCUAUAGUGCAGGUUGCAUGGAAUUCUCGUUUACCUUUGCUGUGAACAUAAGUAACAUCUGCACUAAUUGAAGUCCAUUUAGGAAUAUGUUGGAUAUCACUAGGUGGCUAAAAUUAUGUCUGCUAGAUGGUGCGAGUGUCUUCGUUACUCAAGACGAAAUUCCGCCAUUUCUUACAACACUGAUUGGAAACCACAUGUUGAAAACGUAUCGUUGGAUUGGAUACUUAAUACGGCGUACUUUUCUUUCUUGACAUUUUUUUUCGUAAUAACGGUAUUUAUUUGGUAACAGCCUAUAAUUUCUACAUGGCAAUUUCAUCUGGUCAUGUGGCCUGAGCAGCUGAACAUUUUGCCAAAAUGUCGUCUCUUUUUCCUGUACCAGCUUCACGUUUGUCGGAUACAAUUCAGAACAAUUCGGGAUUAACACCCUGGUGGAGUUUGAGCUUCUUUGUUGCUGCCCAACUUUCACAUGGAUUUGAUGCAGCCAGCUGAGGGCUUUAACUCUGGUUUAGCGUUUAUAUUGGCGUAGUUGCUGUCCGAUGUGGCACGUUGUUGCAGCCUAUACUGGUGAAAGAUCUUUCGACAUCAAGCUCAAUUGGCCGUUCCUUGGUGAUGAUGUUGUGUUGCCGAAGUUGCAUCAUAUUUUGUUAAAUUGUUAUCGUGACUAUUGCAGUUUACCGUUUAUAAGUUCAGAAGCAACAAAAACAAAUGUGGGAUGUUUAUGUCAACCAAUAAUAAACGUGUAUCCGGGAUUGGGAAAGGAAAGUGGAGGAUCGGCUUGACAUUAUAUUUAUUGCUUCACAAAUUUCCUGUUGACAUCUUUAGCCUAUUUAAUUUUUUACCUAACAAUUUUCGUUUCAUUCGAGUAUUCGACUCGUCAUUUUAAGAUGUAAGCCACCUUUUUUCUUACGCUUAUGAACAGAUGUCAUGUCCCUAACAAGAAAAACAAAAAGUCAUACGUUUGCUUUA
rnacentral:lncRNA from 1 species